CUGCGGANGANCAUUAUCGNACAAAAUGUGAGAGGGGCAUGCGAGGGCUGUCGCUGACUCAAAGUCGUGCACGCCCGAGUGUGUCGCCUCACAUAAUAAUCCAUCUCACCCUUUGUGCAUCACCGCGUGGGCACCCCUUUGGGAUCAUCUCGGAGGGGGCUCGCGUUUUCACACAAAACCCCCCUUUUAAAAGUGUAGAAUGACCUCAUUUAUGCGCUAACCCGCAAUCAAUACAACUUUCAACAACGGAUCUCUUGGCUCUCGCAUCGAUGAAGAACGCAGCGAAAUGCGAUACGUAAUGUGAAUUGCAGAAUUCAGUGAAUCAUCGAAUCUUUGAACGCACCUUGCGCCCCCUGGUAUUCCGAGGGGCACACCCGUUUGAGUGUCGUGAAAACCUCAACCUCCUUGGUUUCUUCUGGAGACCAAAGCAGGCUUGGACUUUGGAGGCCUUUGCUGGCACCUCUCGCCAGCUCCUCUUAAAUGAAUUAGCAGGGUCCUCUUUGCUGAUCCUCGACGUGUGAUAAGAUGUUUCCAUGUCUUGGUUUCUGGCUCUGUCACCUUUGGGACCCGCUUCUAACCGUCUUCAACCUUGCGUUGAGACAACGUUCGAGCAUGUCUCCCUUCUCGGGAAGCUCCCUCGACCCCACGAACCCUUGACCUCAAAUCGGGUGAGACUACCCGCUGAACUUAAGC
rnacentral:rRNA from 1 species